rnacentral:tRNA from 1 species
GCCGGUUUAGCUUAGUGGUAGAGCGUUGCACUUGUAGGUCCCAUUCCCUGGGUCAGCAUGCAAAGGUCGGUUGUUCAAUCCAGCCAACCGGCA